rnacentral:rRNA from 1 species
AUUGAACGCUGGCGGCAGGCCUAACACAUGCAAGUCGAGCGAGCGGCGGACGGGUGAGUAAUGUAUGGGGACUGCCCGAUAGAGGGGGAUAACUACUGGAAAAGGUAGCUAAUAACGCAUACUAUCGGCUAACCAUUAUGGGAUUAGCUAGUAGGUGAGGUAAUGGCUCACCUAGGCGACGAUCCCUAGCGGGUCUGAUAGGAUGAUCAGCCACACUGGGACUGAGACACGGCCCAGACUCCUACGGAGGCAGCAGUUGGGAAUAUUGCACAAUGGGCGCAAGCCUGAUGCAGCCAUGCCGCGUGUAUGAAGAAGGCCCUAGGGUUGUAAAGCACUGUCAGUCGGGAGGCGUUACCGACAGAAGAAGCACCGGCUAACUCCGUGCCAGCAGCCGCGGUAAUUC